GCGCCGAUGGUUUAGUGGUAAAAUAUCUCGUUGCCAACGAGGUGUCCCGGGUUCGAUUCCCGGUCGGCGCA
rnacentral:tRNA from 1 species